UACGGGGGGGGCAAGCGUUGUUCGGAAUUACUGGGCGUAAAGGGCUCGUAGGUGGCCAACUAAGUCAGACGUGAAAUCCCUCGGCUUAACCGGGGAACUGCGUCUGAUACUGGAUGGCUUGAGUUUGGGAGAGGGAUGCGGAAUUCCAGGUGUAGCGGUGAAAUGCGUAGAUAUCUGGAGGAACACCGGUGGCGAAGGCGGCAUCCUGGACCAACACUGGAGAUGAGUGAACGAAAGCCAGGGGAGCAAACAGG
rnacentral:rRNA from 1 species